AGGGAAAGGGCCUUCGGCGGGCCCGGCCGCGGCCUGCGCCCCGCCAGCCCGCUCUCCUCCCCGGGGGGCUUGUGGGGCCCCGAGCGCUGGGUCGCACCGGGCCGCCGGAGCCCAGCGCGCCGGAGACCUGUGGCAGCAGGUACAAGAAAAGCGCGGCCCUCCUUCACGUUGUUGGUGGCCAAAGUCCCGGUCUCACAAAUACAGAUCCUGACCUAAUGGCAGAGGCACCUGCUGACAUGAGUGUCUGCAGCACAGGUAAGAGACUGCCUGGGUCGACUCCCGUCUGGGUUAGAGCCUCUUCAGUCCCCUCCUGCCUUGCUCGAAUCAAACUUCUGAAGUCACUGAGUGUUUUGCGCAAGUUAAGGAGAAACUUUCAUUGUUCAAAGCCCUCCCGGAUCUGUAAGGCAGAGAACACGUUAGGAGAGUACCAGCACGCAGCCCUAAGAAACAGCCCUCCAAUACUGACGGAUAAUGGGUGCCGAGCCAUGGGAGCAUUUCAACCAAUUCGCAACAGAAACACUAAGUUCCAGUUUUAGUAAAAUCUAGAUGCCCAGAAGCAUCAUUUAUUGCAAAUCAGUUAACCAAAAAAAUACAUCAUUUUUGCAAACUACAACUUUGCAUGUAGAUAACUUUAUUACAGAAGAUAUCUUUUCUUAAACUACACUCUAGUUUAUAAAACAUAGUAAAAUUUAACACCACGUGAUGUUUAAAUCACUCAUGUUAAGGAUGUCACAAUAACAACGCUCUGAAAUGUUAACUAAAAUGAGUGUUCAACAAAGCUUUGUGCUUUGAGAUAUAUCCAUUGUUUUUUGGUGUUCUAAUAAACAGGAACAAGGAACGUU